rnacentral:ncRNA from 1 species
AUAACAUCGAUGAUAGGAAGUAGUAGCAAGCACAUUUUUUUUAGAGAGUCAGCGGGUGGUGGAAGCUGAUAGAAACACUUGUGAAUCCGUCCUUGAGUUGCUUAAGCUGAAUUCGCAGUAGGCUUUUGCCGGUUGAAAUGCCGUUAUGAGAUAAGUGGAUUAGACAUUUUUCUAAUCAAUUAGGGUGGCAACGCGGGUAGCUCUCGUCCCUUUA